rnacentral:misc_RNA from 1 species
GAGAUUGGCCUCACGGCCGUUUUCAUCCACACACACACACCGUGAACCGUUCCCCUGCCUCUCGGGGCUUGGGACCAUCCAACCAAACAUUGUAUAAAGAACGUAAACAUCGUAAACAAAACA